rnacentral:rRNA from 1 species
UACGUAGGGGGCAAGCGUUGUCCGGAUUUACUGGGCGUAAAGCGCACGUAGGCGGAUCGUUAAGUCAGGGGUGAAAUCCUGGAGCUCAACUCCAGAACUGCCUUUGAUACUGGCGAUCUUGAGUCCGGAAGAGGUGAGUGGAACUCCUAGUGUAGAGGUGGAAUUCGUAGAUAUUAGGAAGAACACCAGUGGCGAAGGCGGCUCACUGGUCCGGUACUGACGCUGAGGUGCGAAAGCGUGGGGAGCAAACAGG